rnacentral:lncRNA from 1 species
UAAAAACAAAAACCAAUAAAUAAGAAGUUUUCAAAUAAAAACUAAUAAAAAUCAGAGAUCACAAGUAAGGGGGUUGGUUACACAGAGGGAAGGUGUUAGCACCCAAAGUGUCGUAGGUACUCCUAGGGAGCCCUUUUUCUGUGCAUAUGUAUUUUUGUAUAAAGUGAUGUUUACAAACAAAUAGAAUGGGGGAAUGAGAAAAGAG